AAAAGCGGUUGAUCCCAAGUUCUUCCACCAUUGAAUUCUUCACAGGUUCUCUAAAGAUUAAUCUUUUCUCAAUCCUCCAACAGAGCUAAACCAGAUUGAACAUGCGCCGAUCUGAUUCAACUGAAACUCACUAAUAAAGCAUGCGUCUACUAGUUUAAUCAAUACCCACUUUGUUCCAUGCGUAUACUCCAUGGGAAUGCUUACCUCCUCUCCCUUGAAUCAUGCGCCCAAGAAAUUAAUUAGAACAAUGCGAACUAACUAAGAAACCAAAGUUUAAGAUAAGGAAGACUCUCAAUCAUGCGUUCAAGUACAACCUCUCACAAAAACCAGUUUUCCAGGAGAUUAGACAAUAAAAACAACUGCUAUAGAGAAUUAAAAAUCGAAACUUUUAUUGGAACAAAACCUCAAAACUCAAUGGGGAAUUACAAAAGAAUCAACAAAAAAGGUUUAGCCUUCCCUGCGGAGGCAAAACAAAAGAAUUACUAAGAAGAAAAUAAACUAAGAAAACCCUAUGAAGCUCUCCUUUUCUCCUUAAUGCUUGUGUCCUUUUAUAGGCUUUUCUGCUCCAAAGAUCUUGGGAAAAUAUUGCAGUUUAGAUUUUGUAAACAGUUUUACUUUCCAUAAUUCUUUUUAUUUUGCAGAAGAUUUGCUUCCAAUUCUGUUUUUGGAAUCUUGUAACUUUUAUUUUCUCUUUCUUCUCCUCAGAAUAUUUUUUUCUGUUUUGGUUCAAGAAGCAACUUGGACUUUUGCAUAUUUGGCCCAUUCACAAAGGUAGAU
rnacentral:lncRNA from 1 species